AACGUAGGACGCAAGCGUUAUCCGGAGUUACUGGGCGUAAAGGGCGGGCAGGCGGUCUCGCAAGUGGGAUGUGAAAGCUCCCGGCUUAACCGGGAGAGGCCAUUCCGGACUGUGAGGCUGGAGGGCAGUAGAGGUGCGUGGAAUUCCGGGUGGAGUGGUGAAAUGCGUAGAGAUCCGGAGGAACACCAGAGGCGAAGGCGGCGCCCCGGGCUGCACCUGACGCUGAUCCGCGAAAGCCAGGGGAGCGAACGGG
rnacentral:rRNA from 1 species